ensembl:lncRNA novel transcript
GUCCUGCUCCCUGCCUGCCCAUCUUCGACCUCAGCCCUCCUCCUCCAAAGCAGUCCCUCAGAACCCCUCCUGGUUUCAGUCUGGAUCCCACCACAUGUUGAAUGGCACCCUCUCAAUCUGGGACAGCGUCCGUUGAUUUUCUCCUGUGAUAAAUGAGGACUCACGGAGCGCAGCCCCCAGCAGAGGCUGCCUGCUAUUACCCAGAAGGCCAAUAGAGGGCUCCCAAGAACACUGAGCAAAAUUUGGUGGAAGACAUCAAGAUGUUCAACUGUAAUGGCAGUACUGGUUAUUAUCCUUCUCUAACAUACAAACUGAUAAGACUGUAUUCAUAUGAUAAAGGUGCAAAUGGAAGAGCACCUGCCAUGAAUGCAAUAGAAGCAGUUGCUGCAUUAAGGAAACUUGGAUUAGAUUAGCUUUAAGUUUCUUUCUGAACACAAGCCAGUGUCUUGACCGGAAGUAUCUCUUCUAGAAUUAGCUGAUGAUAGAGCUUUAUAAAACACUUGCAUGUUGGAUAUGUUCAAGACUUGAUUCUGUUCACUAUGUUAUCUUGGAAAAAAUUGCUUAAUAUCUCUAGGCAUUAUUUUGUCUUUUUUUUAAAUGAUGGGGGU